UACGUAGGGUGCGAGCGUUAAUCGGAAUUACUGGGCGUAAAGCGUGCGCAGGCGGCUUUGUAAGUCAGAUGUGAAAUCCCCGGGCUCAACCUGGGAACUGCGUUCGAAACUGCAAGGCUAGAGUGUGUCAGAGGGGGGUAGAAUUCCACGUGUAGCAGUGAAAUGCGUAGAGAUGUGGAGGAAUACCAAUGGCGAAGGCAGCCCCCUGGGAUAACACUGACGCUCAUGCACGAAAGCGUGGGGAGCAAACAGG
rnacentral:rRNA from 1 species